AUUGAACGCUGGCGGCAGGCCUAACACAUGCAAGUCGAACGGUAACAGGAGAAGCUUGCUUCUUUGCUGACGAGUGGCGGACGGGUGAGUAAUGUCUGGGAAACUGCCUGAUGGAGGGGGAUAACUACUGGAAACGGUAGCUAAUACCGCAUAACGUCGCAAGACCAAAGAGGGGGACCUUCGGGCCUCUUGCCAUCGGAUGUGCCCAGAUGGGAUUAGCUAGUAGGUGGGGUAACGGCUCACCUAGGCGACGAUCCCUAGCUGGUCUGAGAGGAUGACCAGCCACACUGGAACUGAGACACGGUCCAGACUCCUACGGGAGGCAGCAGUGGGGAAUAUUGCACAAUGGGCGCAAGCCUGAUGCAGCCAUGCCGCGUGUAUGAAGAAGGCCUUCGGGUUGUAAAGUACUUUCAGCGGGGAGGAAGGGAGUAAAGUUAAUACCCUUGCUCAUUGACGUUACCCGCAGAAGAAGCACCGGCUAACUCCGUG
rnacentral:rRNA from 1 species